rnacentral:rRNA from 1 species
AGGGAUAGCCUUUCGAAAGAAAGAUUAAUACCUGAUGGUAUGAUGAGAUUGCAUGAUAGCAUCAUUAAAGAUUUAUCGGUGUACGAUGGGGAUGCGUUCCAUUAGGUAGUAGGCGGGGUAACGGCCCACCUAGCCGACGAUGGAUAGGGGUUCUGAGGGGAAGGUCCCCCACAUUGGAACUGAGACACGGUCCAAACUCCUACGGGAGGCAGCAGUGAGGAAUAUUGGUCAAUGGACGAGAGUCUGAACCAGCCAAGUAGCGUGAAGGAUGAAGGUCCUACGGAUUGUAAACUUCUUUUAUAAGGGAAUAAAACCUCCCACGUGUGGGAACUUGUAUGUACCUUAUGAAUAAGCAUCGGCUAACUCCGUGCCAGCAGCCGCGGUAAUACGGAGGAUGCGAGCGUUAUCCGGAUUUAUUGGGUUUAAAGGGAGCGCAGACGGGUCGUUAAGUCAGCUGUGAAGGUUUGGGGCUCAACCUUAAAAUUGCAGUUGAUACUGGCGUCCUUGAGUGCGGUUGAGGUGUGCGGAAUUCGUGGUGUAGCGGUGAAAUGCUUAGAUAUCACGAAGAACUCCGAUUGCGAAGGCAGCACACUAAGCCGUAACUGACGUUCAUGCUCGAAAGUGUGGGUAUCAAACAGGAUUAGAUACCCUGGUAGUCCACACGGUAAACGAUGGAUACUCGCUGUUGGCGAUAUACAGUCAGCGGCUUAGCGAAAGCGUUAAGUAUCC